rnacentral:rRNA from 1 species
CCCUUAGAUGUCCGGGGCCGCACGCGCGCUACACUGAAGGAAUCAGAGUGGCUUUCUCCCUGACCCGAAAGGGUUGGGAAACCCGUUGAAUCUCCUUCGUGAUAGGGAUUGGGGCUUGAAAUUGUUCCCCAUGAACGAGGAAUUCCCAGUAAGCGCGAGUCAUAAGCUCGCGUUGAUUACGUCCCUGCCCUUUGUACACACCGCCCGUCGCUACUACCGAUUGAACGGUUUAGUGAGGGCCUCGGAUUGGUCUCGGCCCGCUCUUUACCGGGCGGCGCCGUUGGUCGAGAAGACGCUCGAACUUGAUCGUUUAGAGGAAGUAAAAGUCGUAACA